rnacentral:lncRNA from 1 species
CACCUAAUAUUUUUUAACCCAUUUAACUUGACUUGAUCUAUUUAAUAGAUAGAUUAUGCUGGUCUAGUUAUAUUACUUGUUUAACAAACAAACUAUGUUGAGUAUAAAUCUUUGAUCUAUUUAAUAAAUAGAUCAGAUUCAAAUUGAUGGAUUUUUAGCCUGACCUGCAUCUGACCUAAUGUGAAUCAAUUCGAUUCCC